rnacentral:rRNA from 1 species
AGAGUUUGAUCCUGGCUCAGGAUGAACGCUGGCGGCGUGCCUAAUACAUGCAAGUCGAACGCUUUGUGGUUCAACUGAUUUGAAGAGCUUGCUCAGAUAUGACGAUGGACAUUGCAAAGAGUGGCGAACGGGUGAGUAACACGUGGGAAACCUACCUCUUAGCAGGGGAUAACAUUUGGAAACAGAUGCUAAUACCGUAUAACAAUAGCAACCGCAUGGUUGCUACUUAAAAGAUGGUUCUGCUAUCACUAAGAGAUGGUCCCGCGGUGCAUUAGUUAGUUGGUGAGGUAAUGGCUCACCAAGACGAUGAUGCAUAGCCGAGUUGAGAGACUGAUCGGCCACAAUGGGACUGAGACACGGCCCAUACUCCUACGGGAGGCAGCAGUAGGGAAUCUUCCACAAUGGGCGAAAGCCUGAUGGAGCAACGCCGCGUGUGUGAUGAAGGGUUUCGGCUCGUAAAACACUGUUGUAAGAGAAGAAUGACAUUGAGAGUAACUGUUCAAUGUGUGACGGUAUCUUACCAGAAAGGAACGGCUAAAUACGUGCCAGCAGCCGCGGUAAUACGUAUGUUCCAAGCGUUAUCCGGAUUUAUUGGGCGUAAAGCGAGCGCAGACGGUUAUUUAAGUCUGAAGUGAAAGCCCUCAGCUCAACUGAGGAAUUGCUUUGGAAACUGGAUGACUUGAGUGCAGUAGAGGAAAGUGGAACUCCAUGUGUAGCGGUGAAAUGCGUAGAUAUAUGGAAGAACACCAGUGGCGAAGGCGGCUUUCUGGACUGUAACUGACGUUGAGGCUCGAAAGUGUGGGUAGCAAACAGGAUUAGAUACCCUGGUAGUCCACACCGUAAACGAUGAGUGCUAGGUGUUUGAGGGUUUCCGCCCUUAAGUGCCGCAGCUAACGCAUUAAGCACUCCGCCUGGGGAGUACGACCGCAAGGUUGAAACUCAAAGGAAUUGACGGGGACCCGCACAAGCGGUGGAGCAUGUGGUUUA